CUCACUGUGGCGGGACAUACACUAAAAGUGGACCAACACAGAGAAGAUUAGCAUGGAUGCAAGGAUGACGUGCAAAUUCAUGUAAUGCUCCAUAUUAAA
rnacentral:snRNA from 1 species